rnacentral:rRNA from 1 species
AGAACGAACGCUGGCGGCACGCCUAACACAUGCAAGUCGAGCGCCCAGCAAUGGGAGCGGCGGACGGGUGAGUAACACGUGGGAAUAUGCCUUUCGGUACGGAACAACUCAGGGAAACUUGAGCUAAUGCCGUAUACGCCCUUACGGGGAAAGAUUUAUCGCCGAAAGAUUAGCCCGCGUCUGAUUAGCUAGUUGGUGAGGUAAUGGCUCACCAAGGCUUCGAUCAGUAGCUGGUUUGAGAGAACGACCAGCCACACUGGGACUGAGACACGGCCCAGACUCCUACGGGAGGCAGCAGUGGGAUCUUGGACAAUGGGGGAAACCCUGAUCCAGCGAUGCCGCGUGAGUGAUGAAGGCCUUCGGGUUGUAAAACUCUUUCGACGGGGACGAUAAUGACGGUACCCGUAGAAGAAGCUCCGGCUAACUUCGCGCCAGCAGCCGC